UUAGCGGAAGUGGGGGGGAAAAAAAAACCCACGCAGCCCUACUUCGGGACGCACCUGCACAGCCCAGAGGACAGCCCACCAGCCUCCAAACAGUUCUGCGAAAAAUUAGGCUAUCUUUCAUUAGCUAUCUAUCAUGCGGCCUCCACCAGGCUGCAGGAUAUGAGGGCCAUUUAAUUAGGCCCUGCACCACUCUCCGGUGUGAAAAGGCUCUCAAACGCUUUGAUUCCCCGCUGCUUCGCAGCAGGAAGUUGUUGGCGAUAAUUGACAUAGGAUUUCCUUGUUAACCAGCAGCAGACACGCCGGAUUAAAGCGACAGAGAUCUCGAGAAGAAAGUGAAAGAGAUAAGAAGCUCGGAAGACUUCUGCUUAUUUGGCACUUGAGGAUGGCAGGAAACAGCAAUAACCCACUCAAGUGGCGACUCCAGAGUGGAAGGGCGUCCCCUUAUCAGACCCAUUUCAGCUUGGCUGAUCAAAGAUUGACUCCCCGCAAAAUCACAUAGGCCUGGGGUUUGUUAGUUUAUUAAGCGGCAGGUUUUAGGAAUUAUCACAGGUUUAAAGAUGGAUUGCAGUUUAUAUGAAGGGGGAGAGGAUUAUCGGGUUUUCAUCUUAACAAUUAUAAAAUAUCACAGCUGAAAGCUAGCUUGCAAAUGACAUAAUUUUCCACUGCCAACUAAACAGGUCAUUGUGAGGCUGCCUGUGAGCGCACUCAGUGAGGGAGGAAAUACAGGCAAAUUAACUCUGGGGAGGACCGGGGAUGAGGGGCCUCCAUGCCUUGUUCCACUUAGGAAGACCGUGCGAUCUCAUUUUGCCCUGUGCGAUUCCUUAGGUAUAACAUCCAAUUGCUCCUGUUGGAAGGAACAUUCUGCAUGCAAAUGGCAGACAUACUCUGGGGCACUCAAAUAUAUUGUUCCUGAAAGAAAGGAAGUGGCCUGUAGAGGGCUGAAGAGUAACCAGUCUCCUGUCCCCUGA
rnacentral:lncRNA from 1 species